rfam:Capsicum annuum cultivar Zunla-1 chromosome 10, whole genome shotgun sequence
AUACGUUUCUCGGCCUUUUGGCUAAGAUCAAGUGUAGUAUCUGUUUUAUCAGUUUAUAUCUCUGAUAUAUGAGCCAUUGGCUCACACGAUAUUAACUCAAUCUUGUAAGGGGGAAGGUCUAUUUGAGUAGCUUGCUACUCGGGCCUUCGUGUGUUGCCUAGGUGUUGAGCUUGGGACAUAGAGGGGAAAUCAUCU